AUUGAACGCUAGCGGGAUGCUUUACACAUGCAAGUCGAACGAGUGGCGGACGGGUGAGUAAUAUAUCUGAACGUGCCCAGUAGAGGGGGAUAACUACUGGAAAGAGUGGCUAAUACCGCAUACUCUUGGAGUUGCCGCUAUCGGAUUAGCUAGUUGGUGGGGUAAAGGCUCACCAAGGCAACGAUCCGUAGCUGGUGUGAGAGGACGACCAGCCAAACUGGGAAUGAGACACGGCCCAGACGCCGACGGGAGGCAGCAGUGGGGAAUUUUGGACAAUGGGGGAAACCCUGAUCCAGCCAUCCCGCGUGUAUGAGAAGGCCUUCGGGUUGUAAAGUACUUUUGGCGGAGACGCGGUAUCUGCAGAAUAAGCACCGGCUAACUACGUGCCAGCAGCCGCGGUAAUAC
rnacentral:rRNA from 1 species